GUUUAGAACACCGUCGUGGAGAAGAAGGGUGUGCUCAACCCCACAAAUCCCGCUUUCCACUUUGAAAUCGAAGCUAUGCAAUUAACCCAUUCAUUGAAGGGUCCAAGUCCCUGGGACAUACACGUCACAGACAGGCUGUUCCUGACCCUCUGGGCAUCAGCAUUUAAAGAAGAGUCUUAACUGGUCCUAAGCCUCCUUUCACUCUGUAAUAAAACCCAGGGCCUCUUACUUGAAAUCCAGAAGUCUUCACAACGUGCAUGGCCCCGUGGUAUUACCGACAGAUGGCUGCUAAAAUCCCAAUGAGCUUGGGUUUCCUAAGGAGAAGAACUUGGCCUGGUCAGAAUUAUCACCAAAUACAUCACCAAUUGGCUUUCAAAAAGCAAACAAUAUGCAAAGGAUGUCACGAGGAAAGUGAAAUGACAACCCACAGAAUGGAGAAAAGACUUUCCUGCUAGAAAUCUUCAUCUCCCAGGAACAUGGCCAAGUGCUCUCUGCUCUCUGCUCAGCCCAGGGCUCAUCAUCACCUCUGCGGAGGGCCGAGGAGACCAGGAGCAGGAACUAGAAUGGAUCUGUCUACAAGGCUCGCAGCUCCUGGCCCAGGAGGAGAGCGCUCGGCUGGAGGCAGCCACUGCAGUGGCAGCUUCUUUCUGCAGGAUAUCCCGUCUUCUCUGUGGCCACAGAAAACUGGGUUUGGCGUUUUUAAGGAAAAGCAACUGAAUCUCUGUAGCUGAACCUCCCGACCACUCCCCGCCCAUUCCAAGCCCAGAUUGGGCCCCUCAGUCCACUGUCUCCCAACCACAUAUUUGCUCACACACCUGUGUACUCACCUGUAUACUAAUCCAGUGGCACUUAAUAAAAUCAUGCUCCAUGGGGACAGAAGCUGGAAUUAAAUAAUGCAGCCGUCUUAUUUUUUUUUUUAAAGCAAAGACACUCCCCAAUCCCUUUUAUUUCUCUUCCUUCACGAAGUCUAAGUGACCCCGGCCAGAAAAUCUGCGGAAUCUUUCAUAACACACUUCAGUUUUGCUGGGCUCCAAAAUGCUAGGAUCCCGCUUGCCUCCAACUACCUCGAAAUCUCCC
rnacentral:lncRNA from 1 species